UACGUAGGGGGCAAGCGUUGUCCGGAAUCAUUGGGCGUAAAGAGCGUGUAGGCGGCCCGAUAAGUCCGCUGUGAAAGUCCAGGGCUCAACCCUGGAAUGCCGGUGGAUACUGUCGGGCUAGAGUCCGGAAGAGGCGAGUGGAAUUCCUGGUGUAGCGGUGAAAUGCGCAGAUAUCAGGAGGAACACCAAUGGCGAAGGCAGCUCGCUGGGACGGUACUGACGCUGGAGACGCGAAAGCGUGGGGAGCAAACAGG
rnacentral:rRNA from 1 species